rnacentral:misc_RNA from 1 species
GUGGUUGGAUGUGGGAGUUUGCUGGCCUCUUAAAAAAGGUCUUGGCUCUCCUGAAAUACAUUAGCAGAACAACCCUGUUCAUUGGUGUGAUAACUAUCUACGCUAUUGAAUGUGAAGGGCAGUUUGGCUUUCUAACAGUCCUUGGACAAGCUCAUCAUUAAUGUGACCUCAAAUCAGGUAGGACUACCCGCUGAACUUAA